rnacentral:tRNA from 1 species
GGGGGCGAAUGGGGCCUGGUGGCUUCCGUCGUCUUCAAAACGGCUGUGACCUGACUUCGUCGGGUUGGGUGGGUUCGAUUCCCACACGCUCCCGCCA